UGUGAUUGUGUUGUUGAACCUAGCUGGAGCUGUCACUCUCAAAGCACCCCCAGCAUUUGGUGGUUUGGGCAUUUCUUCAUACUCCAAUUACUCUCCAUAACAUGGGGUUUCAUACUCUGGCAAAGACCUCAUGAGCUGUUGUAGGUUUCAAUUAGCUGGGUUGAUAUCAGGCCGACCGAAUCCUGCUCCACAAAAUCCGAAUCUGAUUGAUAGGUAUAAACUGACCUCCCAAGGUCAAUCCAGCCUGGGUAGCCUAGCACAGGCUAAGAGUUCAUAUUUAGGCAAUAAGUUAGCCCAGUAGCGUGACAUCCAGCACAUAAGAGCUGGCUCCUGCUGAUCAGCCCAAGGGCUGACGUCAACCUAUGAGCUCGGCUCGUGUAAGCAUCUAGCUUGGUCUAAGGGGCCAGCUCAGAGCUUAUAGCAUCCAGCUCGGCCUAAGGGCCAGCUUAGGAAGGAAGACAGUAAAACUGAUAACCUGGAACCGGUAAUUAGAAAAUACUAUACGGAGGAAGAUCGUACUGUCUAAGGAUUCCAAGAACAGCCAAAGCCUUAUCCUGCACGAAGGGAUAAGGCGUAGAAAUUCUAAGGGAUAACAAUGGAGAAUCCAGAUGCCACUGAGGCUUUUAGUCUAGAUAAAGAUUAUAUAGUCCUAAGGGAAAGAGGACACUCCAAAACCCAUCCAAGUCCAUUAUAAACAGAUUAGACCUAAGGGUCCAAGUCCUAAUGGGACUCAACCUCCUAGAAUGCCUAUAUAAAGAUGCCAACUCUACAGGAGUGAGCCACACCAGUGCCCAUAGUCUUCAUCUGUUUUGCAGAUGAAGCGGUUUUUGGCGUGCUCGAUCAACGACCUGCAAAACAGAUGAAGACUAUGGGCACAUGAAUACGCACAAGAAAGCUAUCAUCCCAAUUCCCAACUGAUGCAUCCAUCCAAAUGCAUUUCAUUCUGAGAGGGAGAGAGAGUACAGCGAUCACGACAGUUCGUACUUUCAAAGCAUAAAUUUUUUAAUUCUGCACGUACCACAAGUUGUAAUAAACAGAGUUUUCUCCGAAGCAGGCAAUCAAAUAUGGAAUAUGUUCAACCAUAUUUUCUUCUUCCCCAGAAUGAACAAAA